CCUACGGGUGGCAGCAGUGGGGAAUAUUGCACAAUGGGGGAAACCUUGAUGCAGCGACGCCGCGUGAGUGAAGAAGUAUCUCGGUACGUAAAGCUCUAUCAGCAGGGAAGAAAAUGACGGUACCUGACUAAGAAGCGCCGGCUAACUACGUGCCAGCAGCCGCGGUAUUACGUGGGGGGCACGCGUUAUCCGGAUUUACUGGGUGUAAAGGGAGCGUAGACGGCAGAACAAGUCUGGAGUGAAAUCCCGGGGUUUAACCCCGGAACUGCUUUGGAUACUGUGCGGCUGGAGUGCAGGAGGGGUAAGCGGAAUUCCUAGUGAAGCGGUGAAAUGCGUAGAUAUUAGGAGGAACACCGGUGGCGAAGGCGGCUUACUGGACUGUAACUGACGUUGAGGCUCGAAAGCGUGGGGAGCAAACAGGAUUAGAUACCCUAGUAGUC
rnacentral:rRNA from 1 species